GCCAGUAUGGUGUAGUGGUCUGGGUGUUGGACUAGGACUCUGGAUAUCAGGGUUCGAUUCCUUGUUCUGCCA